UACGUAGGUGGCAAGCGUUGUCCGGAUUUACUGGGCGUAAAGAGCGCGCAGGCGGUCGUUCAAGUCGCGUGUGAAAGCCCCCGGCUCAACUGGGGAGGGUCACGCGAUACUGAUCGACUGGAAGGCAGGAGAGGGUAGUGGAAUUCCCGGUGUAGUGGUGAAAUGCGCAGAUAUCAGGAGGAACACCGGUGGCGAAGGCGGUUCUCUGGGCAUGACCUGACGCUGAGGAGCGAAAGUGUGGGGAGCGAACAGG
rnacentral:rRNA from 1 species